rnacentral:tRNA from 1 species
GUCCUUGUGGCCUAAUGGAUAAGGCGUCGGCCUCCGGAAUAAUGGACGCAGCCGAAGAUUGUGGGUUCGAGUCCCAUCAAGGACG